UACGGGGGGGGCAAGCGUUGUUCGGAAUUACUGGGCGUAAAGGGUUUGUAGGUGGCCAACUAAGUCAGACGUGAAAUCCCUCAGCUUAACUGGGGAACUGCGUCUGAUACUGGUUGGCUUGAGUGCAGGAGAGGAAUGCGGAAUUCCAGGUGUAGCGGUGAAAUGCGUAGAUAUACGGAGGAAUACCUGAGGCGAAGGCGGGUUGCUGGGCCAACACUGACGCUGAUGCGCGAAAGCCAGGGGAGCAAACGGG
rnacentral:rRNA from 1 species